UGAGCAAUCUGCCCUUCUCAUCGGAAUAGGCGUUGGAAACGACGUCUAAUGCCGAAUACGACCUCCUUUCGCAUGAUCGGAGGUGGAAAGCUCCGGCGGAGAAGGAUGAGCUCGCGGCCUAUCAGCUAGUUGGUGUGGGUAAUGGCCCACCAAGGCGACGACGGGUAGCCGGCCUGAGAGGGUGACCGGCCACACUGGGACUGAGACACGGCCCAGACCUCCGUACGGGAGCAG
rnacentral:rRNA from 1 species